rnacentral:rRNA from 1 species
GAUGAACGCUGGCGGCGUGCCUAAUACAUGCAAGUCGAGCGAACAGACGAGGAGCUUGCUCCUCUGACGUUAGCGGCGGACGGGUGAGUAACACGUGGAUAACCUACCUAUAAGACUGGGAUAACUUCGGGAAACCGGAGCUAAUACCGGAUAAUAUAUUGAACCGCAUGGUUCAAUAGUGAAAGACGGUUUUGCUGUCACUUAUAGAUGGAUCCGCGCCGCAUUAGCUAGUUGGUAAGGUAACGGCUUACCAAGGCGACGAUGCGUAGCCGACCUGAGAGGGUGAUCGGCCACACUGGAACUGAGACACGGUCCAGACUCCUACGGGAGGCAGCAGUAGGGAAUCUUCCGCAAUGGGCGAAAGCUUGACGGAGCAACGCCGCGUGAGCGAUGAAGGUCUUCGGAUCGUAAAACUCUGUUAUUAGGGAAGAACAAAUGUGUAAGUAACUAUGCACGUCUUGACGGUACCUAAUCAGAAAGCCACGGCUAACUACGUG